GAAAGACAGGAAGGAGGGAAGAUAUAGGAAAGACAAGUGACUAAAGAAAGGCACAGAUAGAGGGAGGGCUGAGAAAGACAGGAAAGAAGAGGGGGUAAGAGAGAGGAGUAGAGAUAGAGAGAGGCCUGAGAAAGACAGGAAGGAGAGAAAAGAGAUAGAAAAAGGAGAGAAGAUAGAGGAAAGACAUGACUAAAGAAGAGCAAGAAGGGGAAGAGGGAAAACAGGCAAAAAGCAGUGGGGGUAAGAGAGAGGAGUAGCCAUAGAGGGAGGUCUGAGAAACAGGAAGGAGAGAAAAGAGAGAAGGGGGAGAGAAGGUAUAGGAAAGACUAGUGACUAAAGAAAGGCACAGAUAGAGGGAGGUCUGAGAAAGACAGCAAAGAGGAGGGGGUAAGAGAGAGGAGUAGAGAUAGACAGAGGGCUGAGAAAGACAGGAAGGAGAGGAAAGACAUGACUAAAGAAGAAGAGCAAGAAGGGAAAGGGGGGGCAGAGGGAAAAUAGGCAAAAAGCACUGGGGGUAAGAGAGGAGUAGCCAUAGAGGAAGGCCUGAGAAAGACAGGAAGGAGAGAAAAGAGAUAGAAAAAGGAGAGAAGAUAGAGGAAAGACAUGACUAAAGAAGAGCAAGAAGGGGAAGAGGGAAAACAGGCAAAAAGCAGUGGGGGUAAGAGAGAGGAGUAGCCAUAGAGGGAGGUCUGAGAAAGACAGGAAGGAGAGAAGGUAUAGGAAAGACUAGUGACUAAAGAAGGACACAGAUACAGGGAGGUCUGAGAAAGACAGGAAAGAGGAGGGGGUAAGAGAGGAGUAGAGAUAGAGAGAGGGCUGAGAAAGACAGGAAGGAGAGAAAAGAGAUAGAAAAAGGAGAGAAGAUAGAGGAAAGACAUGACUAAAGAAGAGCAAGAAGGGGAAGAGGGAAAACAGGCAAAAAGCAGUGGGGGUAAGAGAGAGGAGUAGCCAUAGAGGGAGGUCUGAGAAAGACAGGAAGGAGAGAAGGUAUAGGAAAGACUAGUGACUAAAGAAGGACACAGAUACAGGGAGGUCUGAGAAACAGGAAGGAGAGAAAAGAGAGAAGGGGGAGAGAAGGUAUAGGAAAGACUAGUGACUAAAGAAAGGCACAGAUAGAGGGAGGUCUGAGAAAGACAGCAAAGAGGAGGGGGUAAGAGAGAGGAGUAGAGAUAGACAGAGGGCUGAGAAAGACAGGAAGGAGAGGAAAGACAUGACUAAAGAAGAAGAGCAAGAAGGGAAAGGGGGGGCAGAGGGAAAAUAGGCAAAAAGCACUGGGGGUAAGAGAGGAGUAGCCAUAGAGGAAGGGCUGAGAAAGACAGGAAGGAGAGAAAAGAGAUAGAAAAAGGAGAGAAGAUAGAGGAAAGACAUGACUAAAGAAGAGCAAGAAGGGGAAGAGGGAAAACAGGCAAAAAGCAGUGGGGGUAAGAGAGAGGAGUAGCCAUAGAGGGAGGUCUGAGAAAGACAGGAAGGAGAGAAGGUAUAGGAAAGACUAGUGACUAAAGAAGGACACAGAUACAGGGAGGUCUGAGAAAGACAGGAAAGAGGAGGGGGUAAGAGAGGAGUAGAGAUAGAGAGAGGGCUGAGAAAGACAGGAAGGAGAGAAAAGAGAUAGAAAAAGGAGAGAAGAUAGAGGAAAGACAAGUGACUAAAGAAGAGCAAGAAGGGAAAGAGGAGGGGAGAAGAGGGAAAAUAGAAGGCAAAAUAAGGAGAGAAUGAGGUGGGAAGAAAGAGGAAGAGAAAAGGGCAAAAAACAGUGGGGGCUAAGAGAGAGGAGUAGCCAUAGAGGGAGGUCUGAGAAACAGGAAGGAGAGAAAAGAGAGAAGGGGGAGAUAAGGUAUAGGAAAGACUAGUGACUAAAGAAGAACAAGAAGGGGAAGAGGGAAAACAGGCAAAAAGCAGUGGGGGUAAGAGAGGAAUAGCCAUAGAGAAAGGGCUGAAAAAGACAGGAAGGAGAGAAAAGAGAAAAAGGAGAGAAGGUAUAGGAAAGACAAGUGACUAAAGAAGAGCAAGAAGGGAAAGAGGAGGGGGGCAGAGAAAAUAGGCAAAAAUCAGUGGGGGUAAGAGAGAGGAGUAGCCAUAGAGGGAGGUCUGCGAAAGACAGGAAGGAGAGACAAGAGAUAGAAGGAGGAGAGAAGGUAUAGGAAAGACUAGUGACUAAAGAAAGGCACAGAUAGAGGGAGGGCUGAGAAAGACAGGAAGGAGAGAAAAGAGAUAGAAAAAGGAGAGAAGAUAGAGGAAAGACAUGACUAAAGAAGAGCAAGAAGGGGAAGAGGGAAAACAGGCAAAAAGCAGUGGGGGUAAGAGGAGUAGCCAUAGAGGAAGGGCUGAGAAAGACAGGAAGGAGAGAAAAGAGAGAAGGGGGACAGAAGGUAUAGGAAAGACUAGUGACUAAAGAAGGACACAGAUACAGGGAGGGCUGAGAAAGACAGGAAAGAGGAGGGGGUAAGAGAGAGGAGUAGAGAUAGAGAAAGGGCUGAAAAAGACAGGAAGGAGAGAAAAGAGAUAGAAAAAGGAGAGAAGAUAUAGGAAAGACAUGACUAAAGAAGAGCAAGAGAAGAGGGAAAACAGGCAAAAAGCAGUGAGGGUAAGAGAGAGGAGUAGAGAUAGAGGGAGGGCUGAGAAAGACAGGAAGGAGAGAAAAGAGAGAAGGGGGACAGAAGGUAUAGGAAAGACUAGUGACUAAAGAAGGACACAGAUACAGGGAGGUCUGAGAAAGACAGGAAAGAGGAGGGAGUAAGAGAGAGGAGUAGAGAUAGAGAGAGGCCUGAGAAAGACAGGAAGGAGAGAAAAGAGAAAAAGGAGAGAAGGUAUAGGAAAGACAAGUGACUAAAGGAGGGGGCAGAGAAAAUAGGCAAAAAUCAGUGGGGGUAAGAGAGGAGUAGAGAUAGAGGGAGGAGAAAAGAUAUAAGAAAGACUAGAGACUAAAGAAGGGGAAGAGGGAAAAUAGAAGGCAAAAUGAGGAGAGAACGAGGUGGGACAGAAAGGGGAAGGGAAAACGGCAAAAAGCAUUGGGGGGUAAGAGGGAGGAGUAGCCAUAGAGGGAGGGCUGAAAAAGACAGGAAGGAGAGAAAAGAGAGAAGGGGGAGAGAAGGUAUAGGAAAGACUAGUGACUAAAGAAGGACACAGAUACAGGGAGGUCUGAGAAAGACAGGAAAGAGGAGGGGGUAAGAGAGGAGUAGAGAUAGAGAGAGGGCUGAGAAAGCAGGAAGGAGAGAAAAAACAUAGAAAAAGGAGAGUAGAGGAAAGACAUGACUAAAGAAGAGCAAGAAGGGAAAGGGGGGGGGGAGAGGGAAAACAGGCAAAAAGCAGUGGGGGUAAGAGAGGAGUAGCCAUAGAGGAAGGUCUGAGAAAGACAGGAAGGAGAGAAAAGAGAUAGAAAAAGGA